UUAUUGACAUUUUGCUUGAAUUCUGUCCUAUUUCAGGGAAAUAGUGGAACAUAUGGUCCAGCACUUUAAAACACAGAUCUUUGGGGAUCGGAAACCAGUGUUUGAUGGAAGAAAGAAUCUCUACACAGCGAUGCCCCUUCCAAUUGGGAGGGAUAAGGUGGAGCUGGAGGUCACGUUGCCUGGAGAAGGGAAGGACCGCAUCUUCAAGGUGUCCAUCAAGUGGGUGUCCUGCGUGAGCUUACAGGCGUUACACGAUGCACUUUCGGGGCGGCUGCCCAGCGUCCCCUUCGAGACGAUCCAGGCCCUGGAUGUGGUCAUGAGGCAUUUGCCAUCCAUGAGGUACACCCCUGUGGGCCGCUCCUUCUUUACAGCGUCCGAGGGCUGCUCCAACCCCCUUGGCGGGGGCCGGGAAGUGUGGUUUGGCUUCCAUCAGUCCGUCCGACCUUCCCUUUGGAAAAUGAUGUUAAAUAUCGAUGUCUCAGCAACUGCAUUUUAUAAGGCACAGCCAGUAAUUGAGUUUGUUUGUGAAGUUUUGGAUUUUAAAAGUAUUGAAGAACAACAGAAACCUCUGACAGAUUCCCAAAGGGUAAAGUUUACCAAAGAAAUCAAAGGUCUAAAGGUGGAGAUAACGCACUGUGGGCAGAUGAAGAGGAAAUACCGUGUGUGCAAUGUGACUCGGCGGCCCGCCAGCCACCAGACAUUCCCGCUCCAGCAGGAGAGCGGGCAGACGGUGGAGUGCACGGUGGCCCAGUACUUCAAGGACAGGCACAAGCUGGUUCUGCGCUACCCCCACCUCCCGUGUUUACAAGUCGGACAGGAGCAGAAACACACCUACCUUCCCCUCGAGGUCUGUAACAUAGUGGCAGGACAGAGAUGUAUCAAAAAACUGACGGACAAUCAGACCUCAACCAUGAUCAGAGCGACCGCCAGGUCAGCGCCGGAUCGGCAAGAAGAGAUUAGCAAGCUGAUGCGAAGUGCAAGUUUUAAUACAGAUCCGUAUGUUCGUGAAUUUGGAAUCAUGGUCAAGGACGAGAUGACAGACGUGACCGGGCGGGUCCUCCAGCCGCCCUCUAUCCUCUACGGGGGCAGGAAUAAAGCGAUCGCCACCCCUGUCCAGGGCGUGUGGGACAUGAGGAACAAGCAGUUUCACACAGGCAUUGAGAUCAAGGUGUGGGCCAUCGCGUGCUUCGCCCCCCAGCGCCAGUGCACGGAAGUCCACCUUAAAUCCUUCACAGAGCAGCUCAGAAAGAUCUCGAGGGACGCUGGAAUGCCGAUCCAGGGCCAGCCGUGCUUCUGUAAAUAUGCCCAGGGGGCGGAUAGUGUGGAGCCCAUGUUCAGGCAUCUGAAGAAUACGUACGCUGGCCUUCAGCUGGUGGUAGUCAUCCUGCCUGGCAAGACCCCCGUGUAUGCCGAGGUCAAGCGCGUGGGAGACACGGUGCUGGGGAUGGCCACGCAGUGUGUGCAGAUGAAGAACGUGCAGAGGACCACGCCACAGACCCUGUCCAACCUCUGCUUGAAGAUCAACGUCAAACUGGGAGGCGUGAACAACAUCCUGCUGCCCCAGGGGAGGCCGCCCGUGUUCCAGCAGCCCGUCAUCUUUCUGGGGGCCGACGUCACUCACCCACCUGCUGGGGACGGGAAGAAGCCUUCCAUCGCUGCCGUCGUGGGCAGCAUGGACGCGCACCCCAACCGCUACUGCGCCACUGUGCGGGUUCAGCAGCACCGUCAGGAGAUCAUCCAGGACCUGGCCACCAUGGUCCGCGAGCUCCUCAUCCAGUUCUACAAGUCCACGCGCUUCAAGCCCACGCGCAUCAUCUUCUACCGCGACGGCGUCUCUGAGGGCCAGUUCCAGCAGGUUCUCCACCACGAGUUGCUGGCCAUCCGCGAGGCGUGCAUCAAGUUAGAAAAGGACUACCAGCCGGGGAUCACCUUCAUAGUAGUACAGAAAAGGCACCACACGCGGCUCUUCUGCACCGACAAGAACGAGAGGGUUGGGAAAAGUGGAAACAUUCCAGCAGGCACAACUGUGGACACGAAAAUCACGCACCCGACCGAGUUUGACUUCUACCUGUGUAGUCACGCCGGCAUCCAGGACGUACAGGGAAGGUCACCAUGUGCCCCAUCGUCACCUCAAGACUGCUGGCCUCUGCCCACCGGUGAAGGGGCCCACAGGUUUUUGCCCCUAAGCGUUCUCCCACUGAGUCCUCCGUGCAGAGGGUGACGGAAGCGUGGCUUGUCAGCAGUGCCCUCGUGUAGAUUCUCACCUACCAGCUGUGUCACACCUACGUGCGCUGCACGCGAUCCGUGUCCAUCCCGGCGCCAGCAUACUACGCCCACCUGGUGGCUUUCCGGGCCAGGUACCACCUGGUGGACAAAGAACAUGACAGUGCUGAAGGAAGCCAUACCUCCGGGCAGAGUAAUGGACGAGACCACCAAGCGUUGGCAAAGGCAGUCCAGGUUCAUCAGGACACCCUGCGCACCAUGUACUUUGCUUGACAUGUUUUAGUGUUUACGAUUGUGUACCGAGUUGGAUUCACAUGAGACCAGCUACACUCAGACCAACAGAUGCCCAGCCCUUCCGUGACAGCCAGCAUCGAACAUGAGACGUCAUUGAUUUUAGUAGAUUCUCCAUUUUCCAGAAUGCCUUCCGUCCCAGAUUUCAAACUUGGAUUUUGAACUGCAGACCUGUAUGAGACCCCAUUGUCGUAGGAAAUAUGGUUUGCCAAAAUCUAUAAGCUGCUUAUUAAAAUAGAGUCCCGUGUUUCCUAAAAAUCUCCUAAAACCAGUCUAUGAACUCAGGGCUUUAAAACAUUUUUAAUUUAUUUGGUCAUUCAAUUUACUUGUUUUUAACACAUGAUUCUCUAUGGAAUUGGUGGGCUCAAACUAGCUGUGAACGUUCUCAGAGAGUGAAAGCAACACAGAGCACAGCUGUGGUUUUAAAGCCUUGAGCAUUCUGAGGUGGUCACUAAAGUUUAUGUCAGAGUGGUACUAGCGUGCCCCUGACAGGGCUGGCGCCAGCUCUUCGGGACCGAGGGCAGGUGGCCCGCCGAGGCGCCCGCCAGCGUCUGGAACCGCCACUGCCCGCCUCUCGCCCAGCUCGAAAUAAGGAGCGGGGGCAGAAGAUGGGCCGUGUGUGUUUACAACAUUUAUAGGUCCAGAGCGAUUGGCAGACAAGUGCCAUUUUAAUAAAAAUUUAUUUAAAAAAAGAAAAAAGACAGUAUGCCGACAGUCUAAUCGUAAGAUUUGUCCUAUAGGACUGUGACAUUUAUUUUCCAAAGUUUCUAAAGAAUACGGGUCUGUGGUGAUAAAUACAGUACAAUCCUUUUUCACUGUUAUGUCUUUAAUGUAAGAGAAAAAAUAUAUAUAUCUGGUUUGCAGUAUUAAUGUGAUAGAUAGAUGCUGUUUUUCAUUUUAUUGACUACGGGGUGCUUAUUGUGAUCUGUUUAGCAUAUCACGAGUGUUUGGGAGCCUGGUGACUGGACCACCUCCUGUGGUUCUCAGUGCUGACGUACAGGAGUACGCACUUGAGUCAAUGUGACCGCCACCCGCCUUCCCCCGCGUCGACUGCGUAGCCUUGUACCUUCAGGAGGACCGGGCGCGGGCACAGCAGCCCCGUGCCGCCGCCGCCCCACCUCCUGUCCCCGCGUGUUGCUCAGCCGAUGAAGCACAAACGGAAUGUAUUUAUUCUUCCAUUCCUGGGAAACAAGUCCAUGUGUCAGAGUGUACCUCUCUCUGUGUAUGGUUCUGUUAGACGAGUUUCGUAGGAUCUAUGCACUGAAACGCGCAGAGAGCUGGCGGCCCCGCGGUGAGCCCCGGCCCUCGGAGGUGGCUGGCUGCAAGGCCGGCAGAAGGGAUUUGCGUUCGGGGCCCCAGACGUGGGUUUGCCCAUCUAGAAGCCGUGGCACUAAGCGUGAUACCAUGGACAGCUUGAAAAGGGGUAACAGCGGACAACUCUGUUUGUGCUAAGUGGGCUGUUUGUCCUUGUAGACAAUUAAAAAAAAAAAAAAAA